rnacentral:rRNA from 1 species
UACGGAGGAUCCAAGCGUUAUCCGGAUUUAUUGGGUUUAAAGGGUGCGUAGGCGGAUUGAUAAGUUAGAGGUGAAAUGUCCGAGCUCAACUCGGGAACUGCCUCUAAUACUGUUGAUCUAGAGAGUAGAUGCGGUAGGCGGAAUGUAUGGUGUAGCGGUGAAAUGCUUAGAGAUCGUACAGAACACCGAUUGCGAAGGCAGCUUACCAAUCUAUAUCUGACGUUGAGGCACGAAAGCGUGGAGAGCAAACAGG